GGGAUAAUAGUCUAGUCGUAUGAUACCCGCUUUGGGUGCGGGUGGUCCCGGGUUCAAUUCCCGGUUGUCCCC
rfam:Hypsibius dujardini strain Z151 scaffold0111, whole genome shotgun sequence.